rnacentral:rRNA from 1 species
GACGAACGCUGGCGGCGUGCUUAACACAUGCAAGUCGAACGGAAAGGCCCUGCUUUUGUGGGGUGCUCGAGUGGCGAACGGGUGAGUAACACGUGAGUAACCUGCCCUUGACUUUGGGAUAACUUCAGGAAACUGGGGCUAAUACCGGAUAGGAGCUCCUGCUGCAUGGUGGGGGUUGGAAAGUUUCGGCGUUUGGGGAUGGACUCGCGGCUUAUCAGCUUGUUGGUGGGGUAGUGGCUUACCAAGGUUUUGACGGGUAGCCGGCCUGAGAGGGUGACCGGCCACCUUGGGACUGAGAUACGGCGCAGACUCCUACGGGAGGCAGCAGUGGGGAAUAUUGCACAAUGGGCGGAAGCCAGAUGCAGAAACGCCGCGUGCGGGAUGCCGGCCUUCGGGUUGUAAACCGAUUUCGCCUGAGACGAAGCGUGAGUGACGGUAAUGGGUAAAGAAGCCCCGGCUAACUACGUG